rnacentral:rRNA from 1 species
AGUGAACGCUGGCGGCAUGCCUAACACAUGCAAGUCGAACGGUAACGCGGUAUCAGGUUGCUACGAGGGGCGAAGGGUGGCGGACUGCAGCGGAACAUGCCCGAACCUAGGUGUUCGUGGGGGGUAACCUAUGCUAAUUUACCAUACUACCGCCUACGGACUGCGGGUGAAAGCAAGGGCUCUUGCGAACUUACCGGACGAUGGCAGAUUAGGUAGUUGGUGGGAUAAAGGCGUACCAAGCCGACGAUCUGUAGCUGGUCUGAGAGGAUGAUCAGCCACACUGGGACUGAGACACGGCCCAGACUCCUACGGGAGGCGGCAGUGGGGAAUUUUGGACAAUGGGCGCAAGCCUGAUCCAGCCAUGCCGCGUGGGGGAAGAAGGCCUUCGGGUUGUAAACUGCUUUUGUACGGAACGAAAAGCAUUCUUUUAAUACAGGAGGGUCAUGACGGUACCGAAAGAAUAAGCACCGGCUAACUACGUG